CCUACGGGAGGCAGCAGUGGGGAAUAUUGCACAAUGGGGGAAACCCUGAUGCAGCGACGCCGCGUGAGUGAAGAAGGAUUUCGGUACGUAAAGCUCUAUCAGCAGGGAAGAAAAUGACGGUACCUGACUAAGAAGCCCCGGCUAACUACGUGCCAGCAGCCGCGGUAAUACGUAGGGGGCAAGCGUUACCCGGAUUUACUGGGGGUAAAGGGAGCGUAGACGGCAGCGCAAGUCUGGAGUGAAAUCCCAUGGCUUAACCAUGGAACUGCGUUUGAAACUGUGAAGCUAGAGUGCAGGAGAGGUAAGCGGAAUUCCUGGUGUAGCGGUGAAAUGCGUAGAUAUUAGGAGGAACACCAGUGGCGAAGGCGGCUUACUGGACUGUAACUGACGUUGAGGCUCGAAAGCGUGGGGAGCAAACAGGAUUAGAUACCCGUGUAGUC
rnacentral:rRNA from 1 species